AUUGAACGCUGGCGGCAGGCCUAACACAUGCAAGUCGAGCGAGCGGCGGACGGGUGAGUAAUGUCUGGGAAACUGCCUGCUGGAGGGGGAUAACUACUGAAAACGGUAGCUACUACCGCAUACCAUCAGAUGUGCCCAGAUGGGAUUAGCUAGUGGGGGGGGUAACGGCUCACCUAGUUGACGAUCCCUAGCUGGUCUGAGGGGAUGACGAGCAACACGGGAGCUGGGACGCGGUCCAAACUCCGAAGUGAGGCAGGAGUGGGGAAUAUUGGACAGGGGGCGGAAGCCAAUUGCACCCAUGCCGGGUGUAUGAGGAGGGGCAUCGGGGUGUAAAGUACGUUCAGCUGGGAGGCGGUACCCGCAGAAGAAGCACCGGCUAACUCCGUGCCAGCAGCCGCGGUAAUAC
rnacentral:rRNA from 1 species